GAUGAACGCUGGCGGCGUGCCUAAUACAUGCAAGUCGAGCGAACAGACGAGGAGCUUGCUCCUCUGACGUUAGCGGCGGACGGGUGAGUAACACGUGGAUAACCUACCUAUAAGACUGGGAUAACUUCGGGAAACCGGAGCUAAUACCGGAUAAUAUAUUGAACCGCAUGGUUCAAUAGUGAAAGACGGUUUUGCUGUCACUUAUAGAUGGAUCCGCGCCGCAUUAGCUAGUUGGUAAGGUAACGGCUUACCAAGGCAACGAUGCGUAGCCGACCUGAGAGGGUGAUCGGCCGCACGGGAACUGAGACACGGUCCAGACUCCUACGGGAGGCAGCAGUAGGGAAUCUUCCGCAAUGGGCGAAAGCCUGACGGAGCAACGCCGCGUGAGUGAUGAAGGUCUGCGGAUCGUAAAACUCUGUUAUUAGGGAAGAACAAAUGUGUAAGUAACUAUGCACGUCUUGACGGUACCUAAUCAGAAAGCCACGGCUAACUACGUG
rnacentral:rRNA from 1 species